GUUACAGAUUCGAGACUGUAUUGUGAUACUGAUAUGUACUGGAACGGCACAGGAAGUUUCAGAUGUUCGUUUAUAUGUUCGCAGUCACCAUCUGAAUACUGCAAGUCUGUGUGUCCUUAUUUCAAUCAAUCUGCACAGGAUGCUAAGAAGUCAACUGGACUCCCUAAUUCACAUGCAUGUACUUGUGACAGCACUGUGGUCAUCAUUCUUGGUCUAUUGAACAUUAUACUUCAAAGUUUUGUAAUUACUGUAAUUUUGUUUAAAUCGAAAAUCCAGAAUUGUAUUCAAAGAAGGAUACCGAAAAAAAAGCAGGGAAUGGUCGUUUGGAAGAGAUAAGAAUUAAUGAAACGGCUUGAGGCGACGGAGAAAAAGGAAGGAAAGGCAUACAUUACUGUGAUCUGUGACUUUGUCCAAAGUUGACCGUUAUUAUGACACAUUUGUUUAUAAUAAUGCAAGGCACAUAGGCAACUUGAAAACCCAUCCAUUUAAAGGCUCAUAAUGGUUAUGUUUAUAAUGUGGCUGCCACAUGUUUCGUUUUGAGCAAAAAAUAUAUAUUAAUUUCUUGAUAAAUUAUAAUUAAUUGUCAACAUCUUUUCUUUGCCAAAUGUUUGUAUAUACUUAUCAACAUGUUAAAACGUUUUAAUUACCUUCCUUUAAGACUGUGGCUGUAUAGGUUCGAGUAUA